UGCCAAACUAACUAUCGACUCAAAUAUUAAGAAUUUUUUUACCCUUUAGCCAACGUCAAAUUAUCUGCCAAUAUCCUGUUUAUGGUCUGAUAAAAAAUUCUUUAAAAAUGCUUUUGAUAAAGCAAUUCAGCAUCCUUAUUCUUCAAAGCAAGAAAAUGUUUUAAGUUGAACCUUCAAAUUUUUAGUAUCAUCCCAAGAUUCUCCCUGGGGUAAUUUACCAUUUACAUACAUCAUCUAAUGCAUGAUAUAUCUAAUACACCACAA
rnacentral:misc_RNA from 1 species